GGCCUCAUAGCUCAGUCGGUUAGAGCGCUGGUCUAAUAAACCAAAGGUCGCAAGUUCAAGUCUUGCUGGGGCCA
rnacentral:tRNA from 1 species